rnacentral:lncRNA from 1 species
AACCUAUUAACUUAGCAGUAAUAAUACUUCUAUACUAAGAUAUACUUUAUUGUACAUAAAUACUCACAGCCAAAAUACAGAACAAAAAAAAAAAGUAAAAAAAUACUAAAAUAAGUGUUGGAACUAUUUACCAUCGUCCAAUCCAUGCAUUGCUAAUAUUUUUAGAACUAUCUAAUUCUGCAACCAUCACAAUUAGCAAGAUAUAACAUCAAAACAACUCAGUAUUAAACCUUACACCGGAUCAAAACAUAGA